UUUAAGUGCAGUUGUGGAUAUUCGUGUCCAACGUUUAAUUUUCCAUCUUAUUUAAAUUUUUUAUGAUUAGUAUUUUUGUUGUUAUUAGAUGAUAAAACAUGAAUAAUACUCUAUGCUUGACUUAUUUUUUUUAAUUUUUCAUAUAUUUUUUUUCAAAAUAAGACAGAUGGUUAAACAUUAGACACGAAAACCCACAAAUGCACUUAAA
rfam:Oryza nivara chromosome 8, whole genome shotgun sequence.